AAUCCUUGCUCAACACCAGGCAGUAUCAGCCAUCGAGGGCUUGGUGAGGAUCUGGGAAGGGCUGAGAAAUGGAGAGGCUGAGAGCUUAAGUGCUUCCUACCAACUCCACAGUGGUAGGAACCUGUGCUGGAGGAGGCUCUUCAUGCCAUACAAACAGGAAGCAGAGAGGAAGAUACAGGAAAAGGAGAAAGCAAGAAGCACCUAAGGCUGUGUCCCGGUGAACUGCGUCCUCCAACUUGCCCCACCUCCCACCUUUCACAUCAUCCACAUUAUAGAGUCAUCAAUGGACCAGUUUACUGCUAUGUCAGGACCCUGAUGAUAAGUGGCCCACAAAGGCCCUCACAGACACAGAGGGUUUCUAUGGGUAGCCUUGCCUAUUCUGGAACUCUCUGGAGGUCUGGCCUGCAGCCACCUCAGAGAUCUGCUGACCUCUGCCUCCCCAGUGCUGAUAUUAAAGGAAAGGUUUAUGGGCCACUCUGGCCCCAACUGGGUUGUUUUCCGGGAGAAGAACUUUCAAUCCUUCCACGCACAAUAAUGAAAUAUGAUACAAAACAGGCCCAUGUCAAUAAAUCUACAGGAGAAAGGUCAGGUUUACAUGGCUGGACGGGAUUGGCAAAUACAUUUGUUCCUGCCACGUCUGUGUUUUAAAUGCCACCCUCGGAUGAACCUGGUGCUGAAACACACUUUGGAGUUUGAUGAGAUGUCACUUUUGCUCAGCCCUGAUCAAAUAAAAUGAAUGAAGGUGA
ensembl:lincRNA Gm27169 predicted gene 27169